ensembl:snRNA U6 U6 spliceosomal RNA
GUGCUUGCUUUGGCAGCACAUAAACUAAAAUAGGAACAAUACAGAGAAGAUUAGCAUGGCCCCUGCACCAGGAUGACAUGAAAACCAUGGCCUAAUAUAAGUGUCAU